AAAUGAAUAGACGGGGACCCGCACAAGCAGCGGAGCAUGUGGUUUAAUUCGAAGCAACGCGAAGAACCUUACCAGGGCUUGACAUGCCACUGACCGGUAUAGAGAUAUACCCUUACCUUUCGGGUACAGUGGACACAGGUGGUGCAUGGUUGUCGUCAGCUCGUGUCGUGAGAUGUUGGGUUAAGUCCCGCAACGAGCGCAACCCCUAUUUUUAGUUGCUACCAUUAAGUUGAGCACUCUAGAGAGACUGCCGAUGAUAAAUCGGAGGAAGGUGGGGAUGACGUCAAAUCAUCAUGCCCUUUAUGUCCUGGGCUACACACGUGCUACAAUGGUCGGUACAACGAGUAGCUACCUAGUGAUAGGAUGCAAAUCUCUUAAAGCCGAUCCCAGUUCGGAUUGUAGGCUGCAAUUCGCCUACAUGAAGUCGGAGUUGCUAGUAAUCGCGGAUCAGAAUGUCGCGGUGAAUGCGUUCCCGGGUCUUGUACACACCGCCCGU
rnacentral:rRNA from 1 species